UACGGAGGAUGCGAGCGUUAUCCGGAAUCAUUGGGUUUAAAGGGUCUGUAGGCGGGCUGGUAAGUCAGAGGUGAAAGCGCUUAGCUCAACUAGGCAACUGCCUUUGAAACUGCUGGUCUUGAAUGGUUGUGAAGUAGUUGGAAUGUGUAGUGUAGCGGUGAAAUGCUUAGAUAUUACACAGAACACCGAUAGCGAAGGCAUAUUACUAACAAUUAAUUGACGCUGAUGGACGAAAGCGUGGGGAGCGAACAGG
rnacentral:rRNA from 1 species